CAGAGAGAGAGGCAGCAGCUGAGGAACGCCAUCCUCUCCGCGGCGCGCGAGAUCGCCACCAACGAGGGGUGGCAAUCGGUGACGAUCCGCAAGAUCGUCGGGCUCAUCGAGUACAGUCCCCCCGUCAUCUACGAGUACUUCGACUCCAAGGAGGACCUGCUCCUCGAGCUCGUACGGACGGGAUACGCCGGGCAGCUGGAGGCCAUCGAGAAAGCCCGGAACGCCUCCGACGAUUCGGAAGAGGCCCUGCUCGAAAUGUCGCGCGCCUGGUGCCGCUUCGCGUUCGAGGCCCCUGACCUCUACCAGGUGAUGUACGGCCUGGGCGGGGUGUCCUUCCCCGUGACGGAGCUGAGGAAGGAGGGGGAGAAGAUAGCCGAGGUGGUGGCGGGAGUUUUGAGGAAGAUACUCGUAAAGAA
rnacentral:misc_RNA from 1 species